rnacentral:miRNA from 1 species
CCUCUCAGCGGCCGAGAGGGAUUCCUCUCGUCCGGUGAGAGUGCCAAGAGGAAUCACUCUCAUCAACCAAGAGGGAUUCCUCUUGGCCGGUGAGAGU